UACGAAGGGUGCAAGCGUUGUUCGGAUUUAUUGGGCGUAAAGCGCGCGCAGGCGGAUUGUUAAGUCAGAUGUGAAAUCUCGGGGCUCAACCCCGAAACUGCGUCUGAAACUGAUAAUCUAGAAUCUCGGAGAGGGAAGGGGAAUUUCGCAUGUAGGGGUAAAAUCCGUAGAGAUGCGAAGGAACACCAGAGGCGAAGGCG
rnacentral:rRNA from 1 species